rnacentral:rRNA from 1 species
AGGUUGGCUUAGAAGCAGCCACCCUUGAAAGAGUGCGUAAUAGCUCACUGGUCGAUGUGUUGCGGCGCCGACAAUCCACCGGGGCUCAAGCAUACUACCGAAGCUACGGAAUCUUUAAGAUUGGUAGGGGAGCGUCGUAGUCAGCAGUGAAGGUGGUCCGGAAGGAUAGCUGGAGCGGCUACGAGUGAGAAUGUUGGCAUGAGUAGCGCGAGGAAGGUGCGAAUCCUUCCCACCGAAUGCCCGAGGGUUCCGUCGCGAUGCUGAUCAUCGACGGGUUAGGCGGGCCUAAGCCGAGGUCGGAAGACGUAGGCGAUGGACAGCAGGUUAAUAUUCCUGCCCCGUGCAAGUGCGUUUGAGCGAUGGGGGGACGCAGGGAGCUAGGUCCGGGGGUCUAUACGACCCUCUAACGUGGUAGGGAGUUCCGAUAGGCAAAUCCGUUGGAACGAUGACCGAGAGCGGAGUGGAAGGUGCGGCCUGCGGGCCAAGCCGGACGGAUUGAUGCUGCACUGACGAGAAAAGCCUCUAGCGAGUAGUUGUGCGCCCGUACCGCAAACCGACACAGGUGGGCUGGUAGAGAAUACCGAGGUGGACGAGAGAACCCUUGUUAAGGAACUCGGCAAAUUAGCUCCGUAACUUCGGGAGAAGGAGCGCCCCGGUAGUGUGAAGCGCUUGCGCGUGGAGCAUGAGGGGGCCGCAGUGACCAGGCCCAGGCGACUGUUUAUCAAAAACACCGGUCCCUGCAAACGCGAAUGAGCGUGGACGUAUAGGGGCUGAGACCUGCCCAGUGCCGGAAGGUUAAAGGGAGGGGUUCACGCCUCGAACUGAAGCCCCGGUAAACGGCGGCCGUAACUAUAACGGUCCUAAGGUAGCGAAAUUCCUUGUCGGGUAAGUUCCGACCCGCACGAAAGGUAGAACGAUCUGGGCGCUGUCUCGGCGGGGGACUCGGCGAAAUUGGAGUACCGGUGAAGAUACCGGUGACCCGCGGCAGGACAAAAAGACCCCGUGGAGCUUUACUCCAACUUGUCGUUGGGCGAGAGUGCGAGCUGUGUAGGAUAGGUGGGAGCCGGAGAGCCCGUGCCGCCAGGUGCGGGGGAGGCGACGUUGAAAUACCACCCUGCUGGCGCUUUUGUUCUCACCCGACUAUCUGAUCGAUAGCGGGGACCGCGGCUGGUGGGGAGUUUGACUGGGGCGGUCGCCUCCUAAAUGGUAACGGAGGCGCCCAAUGGUUCCCUCAGGCCGGAUGGCAAUCGGCCGGAGCGCGUAAGGGCAGCAAGGGAGCUUGACUGCGAGGCGGACGUGCCGAGCAGGGACGAAAGUCGGGCCUAGUGAUCCCACGGUUCCGAGUGGAAGGGCCGUGGCUUAACGGAUAAAAGCUACCCCGGGGAUAACAGGCUGAUCCUUCCCAAGAGUCCACAUCGCCGGAAGGGUUUGGCACCUCGAUGUCGGCUCGUCGCAUCCUGGGGCCGGAGAAGGUCCCAAGGGUUGGGCUGUUCGCCCAU